AGCAGGGAGAGCUCAGCCGCAGUGUGCACUACCACACCAGUGACUGCCCGGCUCUCUCGCUCUUUAGAUUUCUCUCCGCCGUGGUGCUGCUGCUGGUGGUGGUGCUGGUGGUGGUGGUGGUGGUGCUCCCGUCUGAAUGGCCACGGUUGGAGUCUGGGCGUCUGGAUGUCAGCGCUAUCUUCCAGUGCACGGUGCUGCCCUUGGGCCUGCUGACAGCCAGCUGUUGAAGGUGUGUCAAACAGAGGGACUGGGAAGCGGCAGCAGCAGCAGCAGCAGCAGCAGCCUCGGGACCAGUCAGAGCUUGGUUUUGAGUGACAGUCCCUUCACCUAAUGACUGAACACAGGCGACCAGGGGCCCAGAGAUGAUCACCGAGGUUGCAUCCCCAACAUGUGGUGAGUUUUUUCUGAUCGUGGCCUCCUCGUGCAGCCGCUCCGUGGUGAAACAAUCGAGUGGGUCGGGGGGGGUGAGGAGGAAAGCGAUGACACAGAGCAGCACUUAAGAAAAUCAGCACCUGGCCUCUGUUUUAUUCUCCGUCCUGAUGAAACUCUCCGUCUCCUCUCGUCUCUCCCUCCUCUGUUGUCAGGGGGCGAGCACUUUAAACCUUCUUCAACAAAACUAUAGAUUCCCUUCAAGGUUUUUUACCAAAUCUCCUCAUAUUUAUUGUUACGUUUGAGUAUUUAAUUUUCCAACAUGAUAAAAAAAAAAGAAAGCUUAGCUGGGCGGAAAAUAUGUCUGCAGCUUCUUUAAAAGUUGGAUUCAUUUAUUGUCUGCUUCUUGAAGAGAGUUUGUCUGAUUCCUGAGACGUCUCAGAGGGACUUUUCACAGCUGCAGAACAUCCUCAUGUUAUUAUUUAUGACAGAGAAAAGUCUUCGACGAACUCCACUGAAGUGGAAGUCCUGCAACAGUUCUGCCUCAUCAAAAAUCUGGUUUUUACGUUACCUGUUGCUGGAGCAGCUCAUAACUUGAGCUUCUGAAUUGGCCAAAAAUGUUUCCAAAGCAGCAUCCAGGAAUUAGAAAUAAUAAAAAGAAGCUUAUUGAUUUUUUUUUUGGGCAGCUUUAGCAACAAUUUCCCGAAAUUAAACAGUGAACCAUAGCUGGAGACGCAAAAAAAUAAAAUAAAAAUAAUGUGAGUUAAUAAAAAAA
rnacentral:lncRNA from 1 species